CGAGUGAAGCGGCAAUAGCUCAAAUUUGAAAGCUGGCCCCUUUGGGGUCCGCGUUGUAAUUUGUAGAGGAUGAUUCGGCGAGGGCUCCCGUCUAAGUCCCCUGGAACGGGGCGUCAUAGAGGGUGAGAAUCCCGUAUGUGAUGGGUUGCCUUAGCCAUGUGAAUCUCCUUCGACGAGUCGAGUUGUUUGGGAAUGCAGCUCUAAAUGGGAGGUAAAUUUCUUCUAAAGCUAAAUACCGGCCAGAGACCGAUAGCGCACAAGUAGAGUGAUCGAAAGAUGAAAAGCACUUUGGAAAGAGAGUUAAAAAGUACGUGAAAUUGUUGAAAGGGAAGCGCUUGCAGCCAGACUUGUCCGCAGUUGCUCAGCCGGUCUCCUGACCGGCGUACUCUUCUGCGGCCAGGCCAGCAUCAGUUCGGGCGGUCGGAUAAAGACCUCGGGAAUGUAGCUCCUCUCGGGGAGUGUUAUAGCCCGGGGUGGAAUGCGGCCAGCCUGGACUGAGGAUCUCGCUUCGGCUAGGAUGCUGGCGUAAUGGCUGUAAGCGGCCCGUCUUGAAACACGGACCAAGGAGUCUAACAUCUAUGCGAGUGUUUGGGUGUCAAACCCAUACGCGUAAUGAAAGUGAACGGAGGUGGGAACCCUCAGGUGCACCAUCGACCGAUCCUGAUGUCUUCGGAUGGAUUUGAGUAUGAGCAUAGCUGUUGGGACCCGAAAGAUGGUGAACUAUGCCUGAAUAGGGUGAAGCCAGAGGAAACUCUGGUGGAGGCUCGCAGCGGUUCUGACGUGCAAAUCGAUCG
rnacentral:rRNA from 2 species